GCGUAAUAUAGGAAUUAAACAACCUAUAUUUAGCCAAAUCAUUAUUUGUCACUCAAAUGGUAUAUGGUUUUGUUUUUUACUUAUAUUACCUCUAAUAUUAUUGUUAACCUCAUAUAGACUUUGUUUUAAUUAUUUAUACUAUCUUCAGGCAAUCUAUUUUUAAUUCACCUUCAAUAAGCACUAUAAGUAAUGAUUCAAGUACUGUGUGUACUACUCCAAUGAUGAAUAGAGCUUUACAUUCACCACCGUCUUCAUCGUCUGUUGAAGCACCACGCAAUACAAAUAGCUCAAAUGAUACACCUACAAGUUUUGUCAUUAACGAAAAACAAAAGGCAUCACAAAUUGCUAGAAAUAAAAGAAAGCUCAUAUUGCUUGACAAAAGAACUCGAGGAGAUAUUUUGGAUUUGGCGCAAUCACAAAGCCAAGUUAGAUCUAAGAGACAUGUGGUUAGAAGUUCAACAAUUCUCAGAUCAUUACACGGAGAAUUAUAAAUGAUGCUACUAUUCAAGAUGAGUGUGUUACACAUGACAAUAAUGACAACAUCAUAGCUGCUAUGGAGAUCGUUACAGUACCAAUAAAUCUGACAAGUUCGAGGAUCGCUUAGUCGCACAAUUACAAGAUAUGAUAGAUCAAAAUAACCCUUUAGCUAAAACUUUCAGAAUGGCUAGGGAUAGGUUUGCAUCGGACACAUGUAAUACUUUGAAAUUAAGGCUUAUUGGAAAACGAGAGACCGAUGGAAGAACUUACAAUUUGCCAACGGCAUCAGAAGUUGUUGCGCUUAUUGUUGGAGAUAUUGACAGUGCUGAUAAAAGAGAUAUAAUUAUAGAAACAAAGAGUGGAAAGUUACAACAAAUUUCUGAGCUUCAUCCUUCUUAUCUGGCAAUGCAAAUCCACUGUUAUUUCCAUAUGGAGAAGAUGGAUUUAGAACAGAUAUUAUGCAUAGAGAAACACUCCAACCGACGGUUCGACGAGAAAAAGAUUUAAACUCCUAUGCGUGAGUUCUUUGCAUAUAGGAUACAGAUCGAGCUUUAGAAGCGGCCACCAUACUCUUAUCUCGCAGGUUGUUACAACAAUUUUUAGUAGA